CUAACUUUGGUGGGAUAUGCGAUGUUUGAUAAGAAAUUCAUAAGGAAGAGACGCAUGGGCUCGUGGAAAUCUACAAUAAUUUGGACAACUAUUCUAUGCGUCUGUUGUACCUCCAUAGUCUGCUAUGAAUUUGUUAUGUCGAUCUUCAGGGAAGGAGAAGCCUGGACACUCUUUAUAUUAUAGUUACAACAGUGAUUAAUAACCUUAUCAUCCGUAAACUUUAUUGUCAUCACCAUGGCACGAUGAUCAUAAGUGGAAAUAUAGGCAAUAUUCAUGCAAGGUCAGGUUGAAACAUCAGUCUCCUUUCAUGGAUGCAAUCCUCUCCAGUUCUAUGCAAGGUUGAAGGAUUUGUUGAGGAUACUGACGGUAAUAAGGUUUCUACCCUGACUGGAAAGUGGGACGAGAGCAUGUACUGCCCUAUUAUUAAUGAUAAAUCUGA